rnacentral:rRNA from 1 species
CAGUCGAGCGGUAGAGAGAAGCUUGCUUCUCUUGAGAGCGGCGGACGGGUGAGUAAUGCCUAGGAAUCUGCCUGGUAGUGGGGGAUAACGUUCGGAAACGGACGCUAAUACCGCAUACGUCCUACGGGAGAAAGCAGGGGACCUUCGGGCCUUGCGCUAUCAGAUGAGCCUAGGUCGGAUUAGCUAGUUGGUGGGGUAAUGGCUCACCAAGGCGACGAUCCGUAACUGGUCUGAGAGGAUGAUCAGUCACACUGGAACUGAGACACGGUCCAGACUCCUACGGGAGGCAGCAGUGGGGAAUAUUGGACAAUGGGCGAAAGCCUGAUCCAGCCAUGCCGCGUGUGUGAAGAAGGUCUUCGGAUUGUAAAGCACUUUAAGUUGGGAGGAAGGGCAGUUACCUAAUACGUGAUUGUUUUGACGUUACCGACAGAAUAAGCACCGGCUAACUCUGUGCCAGCAGCCGCGGUAAUACAGAGGGUGCAAGCGUUAAUCGGAAUUACUGGGCG